rnacentral:rRNA from 1 species
CGGUGCCCCCUUUCUUACAUGUUAGUCAAGCGGAGAGAGGAGCUUGCUCUUCGAUUCAGCGGCGGACGGGUGAGUAAUACCUAGGAAUCUGCCUGGUAGUGGGGGACAACGUUUCGAAAGGAACGCUAAUACCGCAUACGUCCUACGGGAGAAAGCAGGGGACCUUCGGGCCUUGCGCUAUCAGAUGAGCCUAGGUCGGAUUAGCUAGUUGGUGAGGUAAUGGCUCACCAAGGCUACGAUCCGUAACUGGUCUGAGAGGAUGAUCAGUCACACUGGAACUGAGACACGGUCCAGACUCCUACGGGAGGCAGCAGUGGGGAAUAUUGGACAAUGGGCGAAAGCCUGAUCCAGCCAUGCCGCGUGUGUGAAGAAGGUCUUCGGAUUGUAAAGCACUUUAAGUUGGGAGGAAGGGCAGUAAGCUAAUACCUUGCUGUUUUGACGUUACCGACAGAAUAAGCACCGGCUAACUCUGUGCCAGCAGCCGCGGUAAUACAGAGGGUGCAAGCGUUAAUCGGAAUUACUGGGCGUAAAGCGCGCGUAGGUGGUUCGUUAAGUUGGAUGUGAAAUCCCCGGGCUCAACCUGGGAACUGCAUCCAAAACUGACGAGCUAGAGUAGGGCAGAGGGUGGUGGAAUUUCCUGUGUAGCGGUGAAAUGCGUAGAUAUAGGAAGGAACACCAGUGGCGAAGGCGACCACCUGGGCUCAUACUGACACUGAGGUGCGAAAGCGUGGGGAGCAAACAGGAUUAGAUACCCUGGUAGUCCACGCCGUAAACGAUGUCAACUAGCCGUUGGAAUCGUUGAGAUUUUAGCUGGCGCAGCUAACGCAUAGUGACCGCAUGGGGAGUACGGCGCAACGUAAAACUCAAUUGAUGACGGGGGGCCCGCCCAGCCGUUGCAGCAUGUGCUUGAUUCGAAUGCAACGCGAAGACCUAACCAGGCUGAAUCCAUGACUUCUAAUGAUUGUGCCUCGG